AUAAAUUUUUGUUUGUUUGCUUUUCAUUUUUCAACUUGGUAAAAAGUCUGUAAUGUUAAUUGGGCCAUUUGUCAAUUGUCAGCAUGUUAGUUUUUUCAAAUUUAAAUUCUGUUCCCAGCAUUCAUUUUUCAUAUCAUUUAAUAUCACAGAGUGCACCCUUUUAAACUGUGUGCCCUACAUACAAAAUCAUCUCGCAUAAAUAAUACCUGAAACCUGGAGUAACGUUAAGUUCUUUGACUAAUAGGAUUGAGUCCUGUGAAAAUAAUAUGCAGGCCAAUGAAAUGUUUGUUUUGGCCAAUCUUGAACCAAAUAAAGAACUUUUUAGAGUACGAACGUUGCCCAUCUCAUCAGCAGUGUAAAUUGAUAAUAACUUUUAAAAUUAUAUGUUUUUUGGCCUAAAUUUUAUUGGAUUAAGUGGCAUUUAAGAAAAAAUAUGUUUUCUGUAGCCUUUUUACACUAUUUCACAACUGAUAACAGAUUUUAAAUUAUCAAGUGACCCAAAGAAAAAGCAUUACAACUCUGAAGGACUCAACAGCAAUUUGGUGAAAGGUUGUUUGAAGUCUCUGAGGCUGCUAAAGGCCAGCGCACGGAAGUUUAUUUCCCAUUUUUACUGACUAGUUUUAUCCAGACCAAUGGUCCUUUCAUUUCACGGUAUUUUCUCCACCCGGUGCUCUAUGUCCUCGCCUCUCAGCGCAGUCGCCAUGGCGGUCGACAGCAGAGCUACAGUGGCCGCCGAGAUCCUACGUGGCUCGUGCCUCCGGCAGAGCUGCGUUCCCAGCUGCUGCGAUGGCGUCAGGCCGCUUUCCACCUCCUCCCUCGUCUCAGUGAGCUACACAGGGGACAGGCUCCCGGACCGGAGUGGCUAUUUCUCUCCUAAGAUCCAUCCUUGUGAAGCCUUCAAACUGAGGUGUCCUGGUCAUAAGAGACGACAGUUGAGAGCAACAGCCCCCAGAAGCUUCACAGAGAUUCCAGAUAUCCGAAAUUCAUCUGGUUACAACAGUAUCUAAACAAAGGAGAUGGACUUAGCCUCCCACCCUCCCAAGGAUGGGGACCUCCGGUGUCUCCAGGGGAACACAGGCAACUCCCAUUGGGUGCAGCAAAGGUCAGUUACCCUCUGAUGGAAACCAAGGUAACUUUCCAGAGCUUCUCCCUGGCAUCCCUCACUUCUUUGGAUUCAGUAACCACCUGAAAGUCACACUGGUUUGAAUGCUGAGACAUCGGCAUAUAGACUUUUUCCUCUUUCUUUUAGUUUAACAAGAAGACAUUAAAUUUUAGCAUGGAAAAGAAUUGCUGAGCAAAUUUGUAUACACUAGACAUAUACUAGUCUUCAUGAUUGAUUCAAAGGAAUUUUCAAAGGUAGUUUUGGCUGUAAGUAUUUUAAUUAUUCUAAAUCUCAAAGCUUACUUCAGUGGCUUCACUAAUAAUACUUGUGGCUGAGCUUGCUCACAUUAUAAUGCCACAUAUGUGUGAUCUAUUUUUAUUGUGACCUACAUGUAUAGAAACCUACCCAAAAUAGAAAUGAUCUUUAAAUGACCAUGUGGGACCUGCCAUUUAGCACACCCUACAAAUGGAAGUAAUGUAGUACUUGAACUAACAAGAAGUUUUUAAAUGAGUCAGUUUUCAGAUACUGUUGUGAAGUUCAGGCUUUGAAAAUUAUGACAUAAAAUGCAAAGAAAUGCAAUCAGACAAAUUUGUACGAGGAAAAGAGUUCAUUUCUUACUCUGGAGCUCAAAUCAGUGUCUACAUGACAUUUAUGUAUCUUUGAGCUUUAAAUCAGUGCUGCACAGUGGGGGCCAGGCAGGAGGCUAUCAGAGUCACCCAGGAGGCCUUCUCAAACUAUGCCAGCCCUCCUACCCCUGCAGUCCCUCCUUCCCCUGAGACUCUGCCUAAGACGUGUCUCUGAACUUGAGCAACACCAUCUGUUCACUUACAAAUAGGCAUUUUUAUCUCCAAAAGGGCAGGUUUCUGCACAUGAGCCUCUUACAUGUAGAGAAGGGAAGGGGGGCC
rnacentral:lncRNA from 1 species